UGGUCCCUGCAUGUAAUCCCAGCA
rnacentral:misc_RNA from 1 species